rnacentral:lncRNA from 10 species
AGAAGGUAUCAUGCCUCAUGUCUGUAAUCCCAGCACUUUGGGAGGCUGAGGCAGGUGGAUCACCUGAGGUCGGGAGUUCGAGACCAGCCUGACCAACGUGGAGAAGCCCCUUCUCUACUAAAAAUACAAAAUUAGCCCGGUAUAGUGGUGCAUUCCUGUAAUCCCAGCUACUCCGGAGGUUGAGGCAGGAGAAUCGCUUGAACCCGGGAGGCAGAGGUUGUGGUGAGCCAAGAUCGCAUCAUUGCACUCCUACAGCAAAACUCCGUCUCAAAAAAAAAAAAAAAUCAAAAUGUAGAGCUGUAAAUCUUAGGCCAUCACCUCCUGAUUCUAGGGCUAUAAACCUGUUGUUUUCAAAGCUAUUUAAGGGCCCUGCUCACACAGGAAUUCAUGGCAGAAUGGAGC